GGGCACCAAAAAAUGAGCGCAGAGCCACGCAAAACUAUCCUCCCGUCUCUCAAGCUCCUUCGGGCAACCCUCCUGAAGAGCAACUUGCGAAUCAUCAAACGCCUCAAAAUAAUGGUGCAAGUCGCUCUUCCACUGUUUGUACCUCUCAGAGAAGAGUCUGUUGACGUACGCCAACGACACAUUGUCGACGUCCUCCAAGUUGUAGUUCGUCUGCAAUAAAUUAAUUACAUACAUUAAAUAAUAGAAAUAUAAAGUUUGAAAGAAAAAGAAUUAAAAGGCCUACAUACCGACAACUAGCCACGAAUCUCCAUCUUGAUCUCGUCAGGCAUGACAUUCCAAGACUUCCAUUUCAUCGGGCAAUGGCUCUGAACGACAUGACCAAUGUCGUGGGCCAAGGAGCUAUACAACUCCGCCGUCGGUGCAGCCCAAUGUCGCUCAUCGUAUCUGAUGUUGAUACGACUGUUGGUCACCCGGGUGACCUUCGCUGUCUUUAACUGCAGACACGGCCAUCGGGUGUUCUUCUUGGCUGCAAAGAAAGAUGACAUUAACGUUAAAUAAAUAACAAAUUUAACUAUAAAAUACACACACAAAAACAAAAACAAAAAAUAAAUAAAUAAAUAAAUAAAAAGAACUGAAGUUGAAGGAAAUCUAUACCUGGCUGUGACCCCGACGCAUCAGUCGAUGUGGUGUCGGUGGUGCUGGCAGGCCGGUGGUGUCGGUGGCACUAACAGGCGUCUGGGACCCGCGGGACCAACUGCCAAGUGGUCCAUCAGUACUAGCGCAGUGGCAGCAGAUGUCGGCUGAGCCGGGGGCCCUGAACUUUGUGUAGUCGUCACUCCCCUACGACGUCUAAUAAAGUCUGACAUCUGCACAAUUUCAUUAAUAUAGAUACAAAUUAAUAAAAUAUACGAAUAUUUGUAAGUACAUACAAUUUUAUUAAGAUUCUUGACAUAGGGUUUGCGAGUUUGGAGUAUCCGGGACUUCUAUCCACGAUCCGUUUAAUCCUACACGAUCCUAGAAAUACAAGGUACAACAUACGUGAGUUUGAGUUCGAUCCAACAGUCCGAACAAACCCGGAAAUUGCACAAUAUGCAAAAUCCGUUCGAGACUCAAACGGUAACCAAAUUCCAAUCCGAAAAGACCUACGCGUUAGUGACAACUAGGGAAUUGCACUGGGACCCAAUGCACGACUGCUACAGUAGCCCACGCACCACCACACGCCCCGGCAGCGCGUGGGUGUCCAAAGCGAUACCAAUCGCUGGAAAAUUCUAAAAACUAAGGGCCAAGGUUCCUACCCUAGGUUGAAAACAUCAAUUGGAGCCACUAUUGUUCUCGGACCUACCUCGAAAAAUGGCCGGAAGUGGCCAGAAUUUAAAUUCAAAAACCGGCCGAAACUUAGGGUUUAAAAUCGAUUGCCCUAUUGCGACAAUUAAUUAAAUCCUACCAAACCAUCAGCUAAAGCAUCAAAAAUAGUCAAGAAACCACACCUCAGCUGUCGAAUUUGGUCGCCGGAGGAGAGAGAACUAGGCCGGCGAAGAUUCGGUGAAAACUGAGCAAAUUCCGAUGGCAGGCUCGACGGUGAUGGCGGGGAAGCUCUGGG
rnacentral:lncRNA from 1 species